rnacentral:rRNA from 1 species
AAACUGAGAGUAAUACCGUAUAAGCCCUUCGGGGGAAAGAUUUAUCGGGAAAGGAUUGGCCCGCGUUAGAUUAGAUAGUUGGUGGGGUAAUGGCCUACCAAGUCUACGAUCUAUAGCUGGUUUUAGAGGAUGAUCAGCAACACUGGGACUGAGACACGGCCCAGACUCCUACGGGAGGCAGCAGUGGGGAAUCUUAGACAAUGGGCGAAAGCCUGAUCUAGCCAUGCCGCGUGAGUGAUGAAGGUCUUAGGAUCGUAAAGCUCUUUCGCUAGGGAUGAUAAUGACAGUACCUAGUAAAGAAGCCCCGGCUAACUCCGUGCCAGCAGCCGCGGUAAUACGGAGGGGGCUAGCGUUGUUCGGAAUUACUGGGCGUAAAGCGUACGUAGGCGGAUCAGAAAGUAUGGGGUGAAAUCCCAGGGCUCAACCCUGGAACUGCCUCAUAAACUCCUGGUCUUGAGUUCGAGAGAGGUGAGUGGAAUUGCGAGUGUAGAGGUGAAAUUCGUAGAUAUUCGCAGGAACACCAGUGGCGAAGGCGGCUCACUGGCUCGAUACUGACGCUGAGGUACGAAAGUGUGGGGAGCAAACAGGAUUAGAUACCCUGGUAGUCCACACCGUAAACGAUGAAUGCCAGACGUCGGGCAGUAUACUGUUCGGUGUCACACCUAACGGAUUAAGCAUC